CGGGAAAUGGCUCAACUUGGUAGAGCACUUGGUUUGGGACCAAGGGGUUGCACCUUAUUUUAUAAGGGUUUUAUUAUUUCUUGA
rnacentral:tRNA from 1 species